GAUUCGAGCCGGAGCAGAGAACAGUGUGGCCACCGUGUUAGCCAGCACACACCGUGGGCUCAGUGGGGACACCCUCACCUUCCCCACCAGGUUCACCCUGUCUGAUGUUGUCAGUGACUUUAAAAUAGAGUUAAAAGUCUACUGUUUGGUGCAGAAAAGUGAGGCCUGCAGCGACAAGAAGAAGAAACCCAAC